ensembl:lncRNA
AACGUAGUUCUUCUUCUCUUCUAGACAGGUACCCGGAACUAAAGCAUCUGCUCUUUUACUCCCAGUACACUGCAUGAUGUUGUGAUGUGGAAUACUGAUAACCAAAAAUCAUAAAACCAUGACACUAAGGAAAAUAAACAGAGAGAAAAAUGCUUCCUAAUGUGCCUUCUACAUGCCUUUGAUGCAAAGAGUAGAAAGCUGUCACACUGCUGCCCUAAAGCUGCAUGACUAAGAGACUGUGGGGGAGAACAGCAAAACCUUCAAAACCUUUGUGAGCAAACUGGGUGUUCCCAGCUCACCCCUCUAUGUGUUUUCAGAGUAAUUAGUCAGCUGUUGCAGCCCUUCCUCUUCCCAGAGGAUCAGCACUAUCUAAUGAACCAUGAAGGAGAUGCAAUUCUGCACUAAUGACAUUUGCAGGGGUUUUUAAGCAGAGGAGGAGAUUCCAGAGAAAUAAUAUGAAAGCUCUCACAGAGGCCUAACAUAAGUCAUCAUGACUCAUCAGUAACUACCUAGCUGAGAGAAAGGAUGGUUACAAAUAAAAGCACUGAAAAGAUUAUUUUCAGUUCAGAAUCUGCUUCUCAAUUGUAGCAAACAGAAGAGAAGGUAGGAAGGUUUCUUUUAAUUUUAGUUAGUGCUUCAGUUAGACUGAAACACCAGGCCCAUAUUUAAUGAAACAGAAUGGCUACUGCCUGCAUGAUCAGUUCUGUAUGCCUUUUGCAUCAAGCAUACACAGUUCAGUGCUUCCAGGAGAAGUCAGAUAGUUGAGGUAUCAGCUAUUUUAGAAAAAGAACAAAACAUUUGUGACUAUUGCAGCUGAAGUUGGCACAUGCUUUUUCCUACAACACAUCAGGGCUAUGCAAAGGGUAAGGGAGAGCUGAAUAGAAGCCAUCAACUGUGAUUCUUUCAGAGAAGGCUGCAGUCCCCCCUUCAUACCGUUCCACCUCCACCUUGUUUCAGGAAAGUUGUGUGAUGUCUUUGAUUCAUGGCUGUUGCUGGUAACAACAGACAAGGAGAAGGCUAAAGUACUUGACAACUUUUUUGCCUCCGUCUUCUCUGAUAACUGUAACACAGCCUUCAAAUGAAUGGUUCAGAAGGAAGGGAUUGGAGAAGCAAUGUCCUUACUGCCGUGAGCAAAAAACAAGUUUAGGACCACCUGAGGAACAUAAACAUCCACAAAUCUAUGAGUCCUGAAGUGAUGCAUUGUAGAGUCCUGAGGGAAUUGGCUGGAGUAGUCAUGGCAAUCUGGUGAAGUACCUUGUGACUGGGAAAAAGUAAUGACACACCCAUUUUAAGAAGGGUAGAAAGGAUGACUGAGACUGUCAGUAUCACCUCUGUACCAGGAAAGAUCAUGGAGUAAAUCUUCCUGGAAGCUAUGCUAAUACACAUGGAAGACAGGGAGACGUUACAGGAGAACGAGCAUGGCUUCACCAAGGACAAGUCAUGCUUGACCUACUUAGCAGCCUUUUACUAUAGUGUAACAGCAUCAGUGGACAAGAGAAGAGCCACUGAAGUCACCUAUCUGGAUUUCAAUAAGGCCUUUGACAACUCCACAGCAUCCUUCUCUCCGAAUUGGAUUUUUUAUUUUAAUGAGGAAUUGGAUGCAGAAUUAAACCCAGAAAGCAGUGAGCGAUGGCUCGAAGUCUGGAUGGAGAUCAGUGAUGAGUUGUCACUACAGAGUUUGUCAGGACCUUAUGAACCAUUGCAAGACUGAAGAUGACAGCUUCCUUAAUACCAUCAUUACCAGUAAUGAGAAGUGGUGUUACACACAGUCAAAACAGCAGUCCAUGGAGCAGCGACGUAUGAAUUCUUCAUUGAAGAAGAAGAUCAAGACACAGUGCUCAGCAAGUAAAGUGAUGUGCACCACCUUUUGGAAUGGACAAGAAAGUAGUGAACCUUCUAGGUUUUCUGAAACACUGACAAAUCUUCAACACUGACCACUACAUCUAAGUGCUGACUCAGCUGAAGACUCUUAUUUUAAGAAGAUUUUGAACAAGCAACCCAGAACUGAAAUGGAAAAUCCGAAGUGGGCAAGUGUUGGACCUUAUUUGUAGCUACGUAUGUCAAGAUCCUGACUUUUUAGAGGAGCUGAAAGUCCUCAAUUUUGAAGACAGGUAUUGAAUAUUUAAGGAUGUUUACUGCUUCCACAUACACAGAGGUCCAACCAUCUUUAACUCUAUACUUUGAUGUUCAGUGACUUCAUUAUGCACUAUGGAUAUAACCCUGAUUUUGAGUCUAGUUGGUUCCCAACUCCCUUUCUUCUAAGUUAUUCAGCAGAAGGAAAAUACUUCAAUGUCUUUCAAAUUAUUACUUUAGUUGACUUUGUGUUACUGUUGGUUCUUGUUUACGUACAGGAACAGUUGUAUGCAGUACUUUACAGAAAAUAUUGUCUGCUAAUCAAAUAAUCAAGUGGAAAAUAAUUUCAAUAGGUGAAGAUCCAAGACAAAUAAUAAGAUAUAAAACUGUCUUCAGUUAUCACUUUUCACAAGACUCUGUUUUUCCUUCUCAAAGAGUUUGUGAGCACUGAACUGACUGUCUAUCAAAAGAAGUACUACAUAUUCGAUAACAUGGUUGCAAAAUGUAGUGAGAAUGAAUGCACAAAUCAAUCAGGAGAUGAAUUAACUCACGUGGACAGUGAGUGAUAUCUAGCUUGCAUGAGGUUAGCGCCAAUGAUUGAAACGCAAUGGCAUUUUCCAGCCUGUAAGCCAAACAAACACUUUGAAGAGAUAUGCAUACUAUUUGAGUUUACAGCCUACUAAAUGUUAAUGUUCCUGGAUACCUAUGAGUGCUGUUUGAAGGCUGACUGAAGCUUUGUCCCAAAAAGAUAUCCUAACAUGGAUACAACAAAAUGUUCCCGCGGUCUGAAGUGAACUUUCUUCCUGUGUUGGCAGGAUUCUGGUCUGAGAGCUUAAGAAUCUGUUGCACACCAAAAUACAUCUCACGUAUGCAUGUAUUACUUGAUAUAUUACUUGAUGCCUGGGUCAUAAUUUUAAUGUUGCUGUGAUAAUAGCAGUGCAUGCUUUUACAUGAAAUAUGCUGUAGCUGUAGUCAAUGAAUUUGCACUCCAGGCAGCAUGAUCUGCUGACAGCAUGAAAUUGAAAUACAACUUUUUAAUUUCUUUUUUUAUUUUUAUUUUUAUUUUUAUUUUUUUAUUGCCUGGAAGGACACUUGCAACUAACACUAUUACAUGUUGCAAAAAAAGUUGCAAAGUUUCUGCUGGAAAGGUUGAUGAGGAGAUUCGGAACUUCAACACCUCUUAAUAUUGUGAAUAAUUGUUAAUGAUUUGGACAUAAAAAUAAACCAUAUCAAACAAAUUUUUUUUCCAGAGAACUACAUGAUGAUGAAUCUAACUUCCUAGCUUGAAACUGGUCAGAAAUCCCACUAUCUUGUAAAAUAACUGGAAAAUACAGUUCUGUAAAAUCAGUAAUGUUGACCUACUAUUCUGUCCAUAGACUAUGCGUAUCAUGUGUAUACACUAGCAGACAAAUAAAACUAUAU